GCACAUGGUCCUGUUCGUACUCCAGGAUGGCGGCGUAAAGGGCCCGCUGCUCCCGUUCCUCCGGGGUCAGGGCGACUUGGCUGCAAAACCUCCUGGGGAGAAAGGCACGCGCUUUGUGACUCUGCCCCCUGAAGCUUCUGGAAGAUCUCGGGUGGCAGAAAAGGAGAGAGCUUUCCUCCUUCAUCGGAGUAUACACGGCG
rnacentral:lncRNA from 1 species